GACGAACGCUGGCGGCGUGCUUAACACAUGCAAGUCGAACGGAAAGGCCCUGCUUUUGUGGGGUGCUAGAUUGGCGAACGCGUGAGUAACACGUGAGUAACCUGCCCUCGACUUUGGGAUAACUUCAGGAAACUGGGGCUAAUACCGGAUAGGAGCCCCCGCUGCACGGUGGGGGUUGGAAAGAUUCGGCGGUUGGGGCUGGAGUCGCGGGUUAUCAGUUUGUUGGUGGGGUAGUGGCUUACCACGGCUUAGCCGGGUAGCCGGCCUGAGCGGGUGACCGGGGACCUUGCGACUGCGGUACGCCGCAGUCUCCUACGUGCCGCAGUAGUGGCGAGUAUUACGCAGUGGGGGCAAGCCAGAGGCAGCGGCGCUGCGUGCGGAAUGACGGCCUUCGAGUUGUGAACCGGUUUUGCCUGUGCCGAUGCGUCAGUGACGGUAAUGGGUAAAGAAGCACCGGCUAACUACGUG
rnacentral:rRNA from 1 species